rnacentral:rRNA from 1 species
AUGGCGGUGCGGCAGCCCCGUUCGUCGGAGCAGCGUGCCUGGCCUCGAGGCCGCGCGCUCCUCUGCCGAACGGCGCUAGCCGUGUUGAGCACAUGGCGAGAUCGGAAGCCUGUUCGCGCCGGCGACGCGCACAGGCGCUCGGCGGCGAGGUGGGGAGGCGAUCGCCGGCGCCUGUCGUUUGGUGGCGGCGACGUGCGCGGCUCAGGGGACACACAACAUUCGCGUCCGACAGGCGGCGCCGCCAGUCAUUUCUUCCCGCCGGCCAUCAAGAGAGACGGCGGCGUAGUAGCGUCAGUAGGACAAGCAAGGACGAUAAUCAUAGACAUCCCUGACAAAAGCUCCUUGGACAUGGCCAACACUACCAGUGGGUUCAGCAAUCAAAUCUUGAUGGGAACGAGCAUGGAUCCAACUUGUGCGCUCUCUGGAGCAACAACUCCUCCAGUGUGUGAUGCAGCAAAUGGAGAAAGGGUGGACAGUCCAUUUUUUACACUGGAACUUGAGCAUGGUGGAAUUUUCUGUGGCCCAAUCACAAACCUGGAGUACUGGAACCCUUCUGUUGAGGUGCUAGACUUUGUUGACUCUGGCACUUUCUCUUAUGCAUUCCUUGAACAACACUUGGUUUGGUUGGGAUAUCCUGUGAGUGAGCACAUCAUUUACUUCAGCAAACCAAAUAAACCAAUCUCAGAUGGUUUGAUCAGAAUUAGCAGUGAUGAUGAUGUGCAGCAUAUUAUCAGAGCUAGUGCUGAGCAUAAGAUGCUUGUAGCCAUGGUUGACCAUACAGAUUUCAUCAGCAACUUCAGGUCUGACUUGGUGUGCACAUUGCCCCUAUCUUUCAUAACAUCAACAACAAGUUUUGCAGCAGGAAGUGCAUCCCCUUCCCAUAGCCUAGUUUCAGUCUUUGUAGAAGAUCCUUUGUUAGAGAUUGCAGCAAAUGCAACAGACCCAGAGAGUUUGCUUAUUGAGGGUGCUGAGCAGAACAUGCUAACUGAAGAUCCCUUGUUAGAGAUUGCACCAAUUGGAACAGACCCACAUAGUUUGCUUAUUGAGGGUGCUGAGCAGAACAUGCUAACUGAAGAUGGAGAAACAGUUAUUGAAGAUGUAGUUGUUUCAGAUUCUGAUUUCAGUGACAGUGACUAUGACAUAGAUGAUGGUGAUGAUGAUCUUUAUGAUGACAACAUUGACUUUGAUGUUGAUGAAGAAGCUGAUCAGGAUGAGGAUGAUGUGGAGCCUGAAUACUUGCUUGAGGAUGAAGAUCUCAACCUAUCAACUGAGCAAGCAGAUGAACUUAGGUACAAAUUUAAAGCUUUCAAUGCAAAGGUGGACAUGAUUUCCCCUGUGUUUAAAGUAGGGAUGGUAUUUGCUGAUGUGGUUGAGCUAAGACAUGCACUGACUGCAUAUUCAGUUAGAAACAGAGUGCAGAUCAAGAAGAUAAAGAAUGACAAGAGGAGACUUGAAGCAGUUUGUGAAAAUGGUUGCCCAUGGUUUCUGUAUGCUGGCAAUGACAACAGGACAGGGGGGUUUGUCAUCAAGACUUACUAUGGAGAACAUAUAUGUCAGAAGAAAUGGAAGAUAAGGUCACUGACAGCAAAAUUCCUGUGCAAGUAUUUCAUAAAUGAGUUCAGAGAUGACCAGAAGAUGUCACUAGGUACAUUUUCAAGAAAGAUCACCAAUGAAUUUCAUGUCACCCCUAACAGAUGGAAGCUAGCUAGGGCAAGAACUGCAGCACUUAAGGAGAUCCAUGGUGAUGAAGAAGAGCAGUUCAGUAGGCUUAGGGACUAUGGUCAUGAAUUGAGGAAUACCAACCCUAGGUCUACAUUUCUUCUGUCAACUGAUGUUGUUAGAGACAAAGAUUUCCCACAGGGCAGGAAAUGUCUGAAAACUCUAUAUUGGUCUUAUGAUGCAUGCAAAAGGGGUUGGCUCAAGGGAUGCAGGCCUAUUAUUUUCAUUGAUGGUUGUCACAUGAAAAAUAGGUUUAAAGGAGUGUUGCUUAGUGCAGUGGGUAUUGAUCCUAAUGACUGCAUUUUCCCCAUUGCAAUGGGUUGGGUGGAAGUAGAGUGCACCAGUUCUUGGGAGUGGUUUCUCACUACAUUGAGAGAUGACCUUAACAUCACAAAUAGUGCUCCUUUCACUAUUAUGAGUGACAAGCAGAAAGGUUUGAUCAAUGCUGUGCAAAAAAUCUGGCCAGAUGCUGAGCAUAGGUUUUGUGUUAGGCAUAUUUAUCAGAAUUUCAAUGAGAAGCACAAAGGAGAGCAACUGAAGCAAGAUCUGUGGGCCAUUGCAAGAGCACCAAACAGGGUUAAGUGGAGCCAAAACUGUGAGAAAAUGGAUGGACACAGUGCAGCUGCCUUCCACUGGACUGAAAGACUUGAUCCAAAGACAUGGUGUAAAUCAUUUUUUAGUCUUUCCCAAGUGUGA